GAUGAACGCUGGCGGCGUGCUUAACACAUGCAAGUCGAACGGAAAGGCUCCUGCUUGCAGGGGUACUCGAGUGGCGAACGGGUGAGUAACACGUGGGUGAUCUGCCCUGCACUUCGGGAUAAGCCUGGGAAACUGGGUCUAAUACCGGCUAGGACGAUGGUUUGGAUGCCAUUGUGGAAAGUUUUUCGGUGUGGGUUGAGCUCGCGGCCUAUCAGCUUGUUGGUGGGGUAAUGGCCUACCAAGGCGUCGACGGGUAGCCGGCCUGAGAGGGUGUACGGCCACAUUGGGACUGAGAUACGGCGCAGACUCCUACGGGAGGCAGCAGUGGGGAAUAUUGCACAAUGGGCGCAAGCCUGAUGCAGCGACGCCGGGUGGGGGAUGACGGCCUUCGGGUUGUAAACUCCUUUCGCUAGAGACGAAGCGCAAGUGACGGUACCUGGAGAAGAAGCACCGGCUAACUACGUG
rnacentral:rRNA from 1 species